UGCCCCCUGCUUGAUUGCCCCUGCCACGCCACCGCCUGCCUCAGGCUCGACCACUCGAGCCCCUGCCGCGCCGCCGCCCGCCCCGGCCCCGAGCCCCUGCUGCGACGCCGCUCGCCCCUUGCCCGAGGAGCUGCUCGCGCCGCCCGGGGCCGUCCCGGGUCCCCACUCGCGCUGCUCGCUCCUGCCCUGAGGAGCUGCCGCGCCGAGCCCCAGCGCCGGCGUCCCCGAGUCCCAGCUAGGGUGGUUGUGACCACCAAGCACAACGACGACGAGCAGUACAUGUGGGAGUCCCAUGCCGGCGGAACGUUCACUACAUCAUAGAGGUGGGCAAGUUCCAGUGAAUGUCAUUGGAUGAUUCACGUCAGUGCAGUGUCAAGUGACCAUCAUUGGUGGAUAUCUGAGAACUAUUAUAAUAUUUUGGAUUUCUGAAAAUCAGUCUUGUCAUUGUUUUAAUCUUACCUGGUUAUUUACUGCUCAUCGCUAUUUGCAUGUCUCUCCAGAAAAAGUAAGGUAACACUAGAUGCAAUUUUUCUUUUCUUGAUUUCUUUUGCAAAAUGUGCAUAGUAGAAGUACUACAUUAGACUGGAAUGAUAUAAUAGAAGACUCAACUUGAUCUUGUUAUCUGGUUCAGACUCAGCUACUUUUUACUGCUGCAUCAUUCAAGUACUUGUUUCAUGUCACUUGUGGAUUGUUCACCAUCUGACACACAUGCACAAAUUAAAUACAAGUGUGAAUAAAAUUUCUACUAGUUUUAAAAUGUUGAUAACCACAUCUGCUGGUUAUUUACUACCAUGUAUGUGAGGGGAAAGUAUCUUAAUCAUAUUCAUACUACUUGGGAUGUGGUCGAGAUCAGGAAUUCAUACUCCACUAACUCAACAAUAAUGUUUUUUAGUUGAUGAUUCUAGUAGUAAUUUGCCAUUCUUAGUUUUCCCUGCAUACAAGAAUCGUGAAGCAUGUAAAUGUUAACUCUUGGCUCUCUAAACUAAUUAGUGCCUUAAAUCUGAAAUCACUAUUACAAAUGGAAAUUCAGUGCUUCAUAAUGAUUCCAGGCUGUGAAAUUUCAGAAGCAGAGCAUAUGGACUUAAGAGCUAUUAAGAAGUUGUUGCUUUCUGAAAGACCAAGUGAUGACUAUAUAGCUGGGGUAGAAGGUUUUCUCAAGUUUGCAUACAGGGAGAAGAAGCCCGAUGUGAAGAUCCGAUGUCCGUGUCACAAUUGUGUUAACAGGAUGCUACAAAAGAAGGAUACAGUGUAUGAUCACUUACUAUGCAACAGAAUGCUGCGUGGAUACACCAUAUGGGGUUGCCAUGGGGAAACAGCAUCAUAUAUCGCUGCUACCAAGGAUUCAGAGUCACAACUUCCAAAUCUAAACAAUAAUAUGUGCCAGGUACUCCAGGAAGCUUUUGGAUAUGCUGACCAUGGACUAAACACAAAUGAACCUGAUGUUGCAUGUUCUUGUAAAGCUGGACCAGAUGCAGAUACACAAGCUUUCUUUGAUUUGCUUACAGAUGCUGAUCAACCUUUAUGGGAAGGUUGUGAAUUAUCAAAACUAACUUUCUUAGUCCUCUUGUUUCAUGUGAAGUCCAUCAACAAGUGGAGCAAUAAAUCAUUAGAUGAUUUGCUUGGAAUUUUACAGCUUGCUCUGCCAAAUGGUGCUAAUAUACCAAAAACAUUUGCAGAGGCUCGGAAGAUCAUUGCAAAGCUUGGCCUUAGGUAUGAGAAAAUUCAUGUAUGCCCAAAUAAUUGUCAGCUUUACCGAAAGGAUAAGAAAGAUCAUGAUUUCUGUUCAAAAUGUGGAGCUUCAAGGUAGAAAAAUAAAGCAGACAACACAACCUUAACAAAGAAGGAAAGAAGAAAGGCAAUCCCAAAUAAGGUACUGCGCUACUUUCCAAUCAAACCUAGGCUUAAAAGGCUUUUUAUGCGCAAAGAAACAGCAAGGUUAACUAGAUGGCAUGAUGAGGAGCGUACAAAGGAUGGGGCAUUGAGCCAUCCUGCUAAUUCAGAUGUUUGGAAAGCUAUUGAUACUCAAUAUCCUGACUUUGCAUUAGAUUCUCGAAACAUGAGAUUUGCAAUAGCUAGUGAUGGGUUUAAUCCAUUUGGGAAGUGUAAUUCAACCCACAGUUGCUGGCCUGUUGUCUUGGUGCCCUAUAACUUUCCUCCAUGGUUAUGCAUGAAAGCUUCUUCUCUUAUGCUUACUUUAAUAAUUCCUGGUUACCCUGGAAAGGACUUUCAUACAUUUAUGCAACCAGUUUAUGAUGACCUAAAUGAGUUUUUUGAAUAUGGUAUGCCUACAUAUGAUGCAUAUCGAGAUGAGGUGUUCCAACUUCAUGCUGUAUUAUUAUAUACAGUGAGUGACUAUCCUGGGGCUGGGAUAUUGGCACAGUUUAGUACCAAUAGCCAGUUGGGUUGCCUUUCUUGUGAAGAAGAAACAAGUUACAAACGGUUGAAGUACAAGCAAUGUUACAUGGGGCAUCGACGAUUUUUGCCUGAUGGCCAUGAGUUUCGAUAUGAUGCCGAUUCUUUUGAUGGAACUGAAGAGCAUAGAUCAAAACCAGUACCCAGUUCUGGAGAAGCUAUUUUGGAAAAGAUAAAAUCAAUUCGUGACUUUGAAAAGUCAAAAACAUGGAAGGGUGAUGGUGCCCUUUUUUGUUUGUCUUACUGGAAGUAUAAUUUUCUUUGGCACAACCUUGACUUUAUGCAUAUUGAGAAGAAUGUUUGUGAAAAUACAUAUGGCACACUUUUAGAAAUGGAGGGAAAAUCAAAGGACAAUCUACAGGCACGAAAAGACUUGCAAGAAAUGAACAUUCGUCCAGAUCUACAUCCACAAAAAAGGGCUAAUGAUAAGUACUACUUGCCUCCAACUUUGUAUAACAUGUCUAAAGAGGAGAAGCAACAGUUCUGUAAGGUCCUUCAUGAUAUAAAAGCUCCAGAUGGUUAUUCUAGUAACAUCUCUAGAUGUGUAAAUGUUGCUCAAGCAAAAAUUACAGGCCUAAAAAGUCAUGAUUGUCAUAUACUAAUGCAACAACUUAUGCCUGUUGCUUUGCGAGGUCUUCUCCCCGAUGAUGUUACAUCUGUCUUAUUUGAUCUAUGCGGAUAUUUUAGAGAACUAAAUGCAAAAGUGCUCUACAAAGAUGAACUUGAGAAGUUAGAAGAUAGAAUUGUAAUGACAUUAUGACGAAUGGAGAUGAUAUUUCCACCUGGAUUUUUUACUAUGAUGGUUCAUCUUGUCCUUCAUUUAGCAUCAGAGGCAAAAAUUGGUGAUCCUGUCUGCUAUCGAUCAAUGUAUUUUGUGGAGAGAUACCUUGGUGAGUUGAAGUCAACUGUGAGGAAUAAAGCUCGUCCAGAGGGAUGCAUUGCUGAAUCAGUUUUAGCAAAAGAGGCUAUGACACUUUGUUCAGGAUUUAUUGAUUGUUUUGAAAGCUUGCUUAAUAAGGUCUCAAGGAAUGAUGAUUAUGAUGAAACACUGGGAUGUGAUACUAGUCAGGCAUCAACUCUUUUUCCUUAUGCUGGAACGGCACUUGGAAAGCCACGUAGCUAUGUUAUAAGAGGUUUGGCAAAACUACAAGCACAUAGAUAUGUGCUAUUCAAUUGUUCCGAUGUCAAUCCAUACCUUAGGUAUCUUACAGGGCUCAUGCUGAACAAAUCACGGCUAUGCAUAAUGGCCGUCGAGCGAGCCAUAGAGAUGUCGAGAAAAUACAAAAUGAGAAGUUCCCUCUAUGGUUUAGAGGCCAUAUUAUGCAGAUCGAGAGGGAAAAUGGCAUUGAUGGUAUGAAAGAUGACAUCAGAUGGCUAGCCCGUGGUCCUGUUGAAGCAGCAAAAAGGUACCGUGCUUUCAACAGUCGAGGUUUUCGAUUUAGGCCCAAACGGUUGGAUGGGGUGACACAAAAUAGUGGAGUAGUGCUGACUGCUAAAACUUCUAGUUAUGCUAGUGCAAGUGAUGAUAGACCAGUUUUAGGCGAUGUGACAUACUAUGGGAGGAUAAUUGAUAUUAUUGAGUUGAACUACUCUGGAAAAUUUUCGGUGGUUCUUUUCAAAUGUGAAUGGGUUGAUGUUCUAUCUGGAAGAGGAAUACAAAAGGACAAAUAUGGCUACACACUUGUCAACUUCUCACACCUGAUACAUACUAGAGAAAAGAUUGGGCAUGAACCUUUCAUGUUUCCUAACCAAGCUGACCAGGUGUUUUAUGUUGAAGAUAAAUUAAAUCCUGGGUGGUCUGUGGUCAUGAAGAUGAAACCAAGAGAUAUAUAUGAUGCUGGUUGUGAUGAAUGGGAGGAUGAUAUCGAAACUGAACCAUUCCAUGUCACACACCUUGGAGACAUGUUUAAUAAUGCAAAGAUCAGACAUCAAUGGGUUAGAACAGACAUUGAGGGAACAACAGUGGAUAUUAGCACUAGUGGAUUGAAUGACCAAUCAUAGUUUGUUUCUUCAACGAACUAUGAGACUUGGAGAUAGCUAUGAGUUGCAGAUAUAUCAUAGUUUGUUUUCAUCACAGUGCAAAAGUUAGAUUUGUAAUAAAAAACAGUACAAUAUACUUUAUUUUCAUAUUUUCAAUGAAUUUUGUUUGUACACAUACUCCUUGCCUUAUCAUCAUCUAUCGAGCCGACCUCAUGUUAAAUAUAGUUGUAUCUUGCUGUCAACAAACGAGUCUUUUUGUGAUUUCUUCUACAUUCUCAAUUGUCUACUCGUGAUGAUAUCUAGUGCCAUCACAUUCAUGGCACUUCGUGAAAAGGAAAAAAUUCGAAGGGCUUCUUUGUAA